rnacentral:rRNA from 1 species
UGCUGGAGCGAAUAGAAGUGAGCAUGCAGGCAUGAGUAGCGAUAAUUAAUGUGAGAAUCAUUAACGCCGUAAACCCAAGGUUUCCUACGCGAUGCUCGUCAUCGUAGGGUUAGUCGGGUCCUAAGUCGAGUCCGAAAGGGGUAGACGAUGGCAAAUUGGUUAAUAUUCCAAUACCAACAUUAGUGUGCGAUGGAAGGACGCUUAGGGCUAAGGGGGCUAGCGGAUGGAAGUGCUAGUCUAAGGUCGUAGGAGGUUAUACAGGCAAAUCCGUAUAACAAUACUCCGAGAACUGAAAGGCUUUUUGAAGUCUUCGGAUGGAUAGAAGAACCCCUGAUGCCGUCGAGCCAAGAAAAGUUUCUAAGUUUAGCUAAUGUUGCCCGUACCGUAAACCGACACAGGUGGGUGGGAUGAGUAUUCUAAGGCGCGUGGAAGAACUCUCUUUAAGGAACUCUGCAAAAUAGCACCGUAUCUUCGGUAUAAGGUGUG